rnacentral:rRNA from 1 species
GCAAGUCGAACGAGCUCUCCCAAAUUGAUUUUAUGCUUGCAUAAAUGAUUUUUGGAUUCGGAGCGAGUGGCGAACUGGUGAGUAACACGUGGGUAACCUGCCCCGAAGCGGGGGAUAACAUUUGGAAACAAGUGCUAAUACCGCAUAAUUAGUUGGAACCGCAUGGUUCCAACUUGAAAGAUGGCUCUGCUAUCACUUUGGGAUGGACCCGCGCCGUAUUAGUUAGUUGGUGAGAUAAAAGCCCACCAAGACGAUGAUACGUAGCCGACCUGAGAGGGUAAUCGGCCACAUUGGGACUGAGACACGGCCCAGACUCCUACGGGAGGCAGCAGUAGGGAAUCUUCCACAAUGGACGAAAGUCUGAUGGAGCAACGCCGCGUGAGUGAUGAAGGUUUUCGGAUCGUAAAACUCUGUUGUUAAAGAAGAACAAGUGUUAGAGUAACUGUUAACACUUUGACGGUAUUUAACCAGAAAGCCACGGCUAACUACGUGCCAGCAGCCGCGGUAAUACGUAGGUGGCAAGCGUUGUCCGGAUUUAUUGGGCGUAAAGCGAGCGCAGGCGGUUUUGUAAGUCUGCUGUGAAAGCCCUCAGCUCAACUGAGGAAGUGCAGUGGAAACUACAAAACUUGAGUACAGAAGAGGAAAGUGGAACUCCAUGUGUAGCGGUGAAAUGCGUAGAUAUAUGGAAGAACACCAGUGGCGAAGGCGGCUUUCUGGUCUGUUACUGACGCUGAGGCUCGAAAGCAUGGGUAGCGAACAGGAUUAGAUACCCUGGUAGUCCAUGCCGUAAACGAUGAAUACUAGGUGUUGGAGGGUUUCCGCCCUUCAGUGCCGCAGCUAACGCAUUAAGUAUUCCGCCUGGGGAGUACGACCGCAAGGUUGAAACUCAAAGGAAUUGACGGGGGCCCGCACAAGUGGUGG